rnacentral:misc_RNA from 1 species
GAUGAAGAACGCAGCGAAAUGCGAUAAGUAGUGUGAAUUGCAGAAUUCAGUGAAUCAUCGAAUCUUUGAACGCACAUUGCGCCCUUUGGUAUUCCAAAGGGCAUGCCUGUUCGAGCGUCAUUUGAACCCUCAAGCUUUGCUUGGUGUUGGGCGUCUUGUCUCUAGCUUUGCUGGAGACUCGCCUUAAAGUAAUUGGCAGCCGGCCUACUGGUUUCGGAGCGCAGCACAAGUCGCACUCUCUAUCAGCAAAGGUCUAGCAUCCAUUAAGCCUUUUUUUCAACUUUUGACCUCGGAUCAGGUAGGGAUACCCGCUGAACUUAAGCAUAUCAAUAAGCGGAGGA